UCGAGAGUAUCUACCAACCGAUUCUCUUCUACGCCGAUUCUCUGUACUACGCGAUGAAGGGAUUGGGUACCAAUGAUGAUAAACUCAUCCGAAUCGUCGUGGGCAGAUCCGAGAUCGAUCUGGCUUCUAUAAAGGUGAUGUUCAUGGAGAAGCACGCUACACCGCUAGCUACCAUGGUCACUGAUGAUACCAGUGGAGACUAUAAGAACGUGCUUCUUGGUAUCAUCAACGCCAAUGAGACGGCCACCACUCAAUCGACAACCAACUAGUCAUCGCAUUAACUAGUCAGCACAUCAAAUAUUCAGUAUAUCACCAAGUCAUCACAUGUUCAGCGCAACAAUUAGUCAUCAUAUCAAAUAGUCAAUACAUCAACCAGUCAAUGCACCAACUAGUCAUAGCAUAUCACCUCAUGAACUAGUCAUCCAACCAACUAGUCAGCAUAUAAACUUGUCAUCACAUCAAAUAUUCAGUGGCGGCACCAGUGGAAGAUGGGGGGGGGGGGGUAUGGAGACAUCCCCUAUAGUUGAAAUGCCCUUUCCCCUCCUUUGUCCCGAGGCAAACUCUGAAAAAGUAAUGAAGGGGAUACAAAUGGAGAUUAAUCCGGCCUUGCACCCGCUUCAUUAUUUCCAUUUGCCCUCCAUUAGCCCAAUCACUAUACAACAUCCUAGUAUUGCCGCUACAAAUAAUUGUCACAUCAACUACAACCAGGGGCGGAUCCAAGAUUUUCCAAAAGGGGAGCACAUUUUCCUAUGAAAAUUUGACAAGUAAAAAAAAUGAUUUUUUAAUAGGUUUUCACCUAAAAUCGGAGGUCAUUUUGUCGGCAGAAAAUUUGAAAAGCAAAAGAAAGAAAACAAAGGUCCUCACUUUCAAAGGGGGAGGGGGCACACUUGGGUAAAAGCGGUAGAUUUACUUUACAAAUUUUGAUUAUGGCUCUCAAAAAGGGGAGCAGGUCUGGCUAUGCCCCCCCCCCCUGGAUCCGCCAGUGACUACAACUUAUUCAUCAUUUCAACUAGUCAGCAUAUCAACUAGUCUUCACAUAAAAUGAUCAUCACAUCAACUAGUCAGCACAUCACCUAGCAGUACAUCAACUAGUCAGCAUAUCGAAUAGUCAUCACAUCAGCCAACGGACUACUGCAUGCGUUUGCCAUACCAGGUUAAGACUUGAAGUGCUUUGGAGCACAUGUAAAUACUUUUCCAUUUUAAGUAAUAAAGCAAUAUAUAUUAUACAUUUUAAUCGAUUGUAUAGACUCAUAAAGAUUGAAUUUCUCCUUACGAAUAUUCAAAGGCAUAUAUCACAUAUACGCUAGGUAUUCCUUUAAUGAAAAUGUAUUUUACUGGUAUUAUAAUUAUAAUUGUAAGUAUGUUACAUCGGACAAAACUUUGUGAAUUUUUAAAUUUUUGCAAUGGGAUAUGGAAUUUAUUUAUUGAUGAGCCUGUAUGAGAGAAAAGAAACCCUAAUGUGAAAAAAACAUUGAUCAAGAUUUAUUUGAAAAUGAUUUUAUUUCCUCUUUUGAUGGCAUGAAUGAAUGUAUUCAUGAAAGUAUUUUAUCCUCUUCGGUCAUUUAAAAGGUAAACAUUGGAAUUGUGGUUCUAUUAGUCUACACUUUUUUGAAAUUUUGCAUUAUAUUACAUAUAUAUAUCAUUGCAAAAAUUAUGAAAAUCGCUUGAUUGAAUUAAUUUUCUCUUUUAUUAAUUCCAAAAUUUCGAUCAUAUACAAUAGCUUUGAAUAUUUGAUUGUUCGUACAAAAUUAGAUUAUCUAAAUAUUAAUUAUUUUUCUCUGGAAAUAUAAUUAUAUAUAGCUGUAUAAGGUAGAUAAUAAUCGUAAUGAAAAUAAAUAAAGAAGGGAAGCCAAAAUAAAGAA